GGACCUGACUGCUAUCGGAUUGAUACUAAGCCAUGCGAGUCAUUGUAGCAAUACAAGGCAUACGGCUCAGUAACGCGUAGUCAACCUAACCUAUGGACGGGAAUAACCUCGGGAAACUGAGAAUAAUGCCCGAUAGAACAUUAUGCCUGGAAUGGUUUAUGUUCCAAAUGAUUUAUCGCCGUAGGAUGGGACUGCGGCCUAUCAGUUUGUUGGUGAGGUAAUGGCCCACCAAGACUAUUACAGGUACGGGCUCUGAGGGGAGUAGCCCGGAGAUGGGUACUGAGACACGGACCCAGGCCCUAUGGGGCGCAGCAGGCGAGAAAACUUUGCAAUGUGCGAAAGCACGACAAGGUUAAUCCGAGUGGUUUCUGCUAAAGAAACCUUUUGUCAGUCCUAGAAACACUGAUGAAUAAGGGGUGGGCAAGUUCUGGUGU
rnacentral:rRNA from 1 species